CCAUCCCCCUCUGGGAGCCCUGGCGCCACAGUGAAGGACAACUCCUUCCCUGUGAAGAUGGCUCCUGCGCUGGGGCGGUUUCCAGUGCGUGGCGCUCGCAGGCCCCCGGACGGCUCCCAGCCUCCAGGCGCUGUCAGGGCCCGCUUCCUUUAUGAGCCUCCGAUCUGAGGCAGCGGCAGCGGCAGCAAAGGCUGGAGGAUCUCCGCCGCCCCGGCUCCUCUGUGAAGGCGCCGACGUGUGAUUGAGACGACAUAAGAAGUACAUAAGAGGAGGAAAAACAAAAAAAACAUAGAAGAAGAGGGGGCCUGUCUCCUCUUGCAGUCGGUCCGUCUGUCUGCAGAGAAGACUCUCAGCCAAGUUUCUAGAAAUAGAACCACGCUGAGAAACAAGAAGGGUGGUGUUUUCCCGCUUUGAAGAAGUUUCACUUUUGUUGUCCUCAGAGGCCAGGACUUUCUCUAUCAGACGCCUGUAGAUUUACAGAGGGUCUGAUGUUUGGAAACUACUGCAAAUCUAUCCUUAAAGUCAAUCUGGGAGUGAGUGAAGAUGUCUGAAUUUGUUCUCAUGUGAAACUCAUCAAAACCUAGCAUACAGAAAAGUGUGCUCGGAGAUCUAACCGACUUUUUUUCUUUCUAGUUGAUCAGAUCAGCACUCUGUGAUGCUCUGGGCUGGGAGGGGAUGCUGAGUUUUAUCUUUGCUUGAAGUCUGCUCUUCAUCUCCGUGUGCUGGGGGGGGGGUGGAUGGAGGGGGGGCCCUGUGGCUGCUUAUCCUAACGUCUCUCCAUCUUUAUCCACCAAACCCACCUUCACUUCAGCGGUCCAUGUAUCCCUCGUCCCGUUCCACCCAGCCAUUCGAGCCUACGUCCUGUCCUCCCUCCUUCCACCCGCACCGUCCAUCUAAUUCAAAUCAUCCAUGCACGCGUCAAUCCACCCAUCUUCUCCAUCAAUCCUAACCCUGUUCAUAACAAACCUCCAUCUUCACAUCCACCAAUCAAUCCCUUCAUCCAAACGUACACAGCGUACACAGCUUCCCCCUCUGAUAUGUUUCAAUAGAUGGUUAGAGGUGGACAUAUGUAAGAGCAGGUGCAACGAGCCAGAUGUACCGAGAAAUAGUUUAGUGUUUCAGAAGUGGUUGUAACGGUCUAACUCUGUCUCUCUUACUUUCUGUCUUUUUUACUCUUUGUCUCUGUCUUUCUCUUACUCUCUCUCUCUCUCUGUCUCUCUUUCUUUGUCUCUUUCUCUAGCUCUCUCUAUCUUUGUCUCUCUCUCUAGCUCUUUCUCUCUCUCCCUCUCUUCUCUUCUCUUCUCUCUCCAGGUCUCUGUCUGUGUUGUUUGCACAUGCCUCUGGAUCAGCUGUGGAGUGUGUACUUUGCAUUUCGACCACAAUGACAAUUCACUAAGAACCUGGGAGACAGUGGAUCUAUCAGGGCUGUGCGUGGAUGUGUCGGGCUAAUGAGAUGCAUGCGCCCCAGACACGAGGGGCCGACUGAUGUUGGAGGUUAUGGACGUUCCUGGUUGUUUCUUCUCCUUAAUGAGUGGGAAGUGAGUGACAUACUGUAUGUGUGAUAUGUUUGGGGUUGUCUGGUCAGAGGGUCCUAACCUGUAAAAGGUUGUUGGUCAGGAACCCACCACUGCUUUGAGAAAAACUCCUGAAGCUGCUGAUGCCACUGAUGUCCUUGUAAGAAUGUCCAAAGGACCGAUAGAACACACAAACGACACACUUUAUACACACACACACACACACACAUGGACACACAUUACACACACACACACACACACACACACAUAUGGACACACAUGCACACACACACACACACACACACACACUCACAUUACCCACACAUGCACAUACUUCCUCAGCACCUUGCAAGGGAUGGAAAUCAGCUAGACAGACACUUGAGCAUGAACCAAAUGUCAGUAGCAAGCCACAGUAAGAGGAGCACCUCCAUGUUAAUUAUUAGAAGGGAAUGGUUUCUAGUUCACUUGAAUGACAAGUGAGUCCGUGAAUAUCUAUGCAUCGGAAGUAAGUCGCGUUUUUGAAUAAUCCAAGAGACGAUUUAAAUGAGAUGAUUACUAUACAUUUAUAAUAUUUUUGGUGUAUUGGGCUCUCAAAUCCUCAAAGAAUUUGUCUUGGGUAUAAAUACUGUAACAGUGUUAUGAGUAUGUUGUACAAACGUUACAUCUAAAAGAGAAAUCAUUAAAAAAGUUUUUCUGUA